rnacentral:rRNA from 1 species
GAUAAACGCUGCGGUGUACAUAAGACAUGCAAGUCGAACGGGAGAAGACAGGAAGAUUUAUCUACUUGUUGGACACCGUGGCGGACGGGUGAGUAACACGUAAGCAACCUGCCUAUAAGAGGGGAAUACCAGUGAGAAAUUACUGAUAAUACCGCAUAAGCUGGAGGUAUCGCAUGAUACAUUCAGAAAAGAUUUAUCGCUUAUAGAUGGGCUUGCGUCUGAUUAGCUAGUUGGUGAGAUAACAGCUCACCAAGGCGACGAUCAGUAGCCGGAUUGAGAGGUUGAACGGCCACAUUGGGACUGAGACACGGCCCAGACUCCUACGGGAGGCAGCAGUCGGGAAUAUUGCACAAUGGAGGAAACUCUGAUGCAGUGACACCGCGUAUAGGAAGAAGGUCUUAGGAUUGUAAGCUAUUGUCGUGUAGAAGAAAAUGACCAUCACAGGAGAAGCCC